GUCGCGGACGGAGUAGCCGAGGGCAAGGUCUGGUGCCAGCAGCCGCGGUAAUUCCAGCUCGGCGGGCGUCGCGUGGCGCUGCUGCAGUUAAAACGCCCGUAGUUGGCCCCCCGCCGCCACGAGGAAACGGGAGCGCUCCAGGCAGGCCCGUUGGACCCGCCGCGUGGGACCGCGCAGCGGGCGCGGCGCGCCGCGGCAGCCCCGAGGAGAGCGGGCGGGGGCACCGGUACCGGCCGGGGACGGGUGAAACAGGAUGAUCCCGCCGAGACCGCCGGCCGCGCAGGCGCCUGCCAAGACCGCCUCUGUCAAUCAAGGGCGAAGGCCGGGGGCUAGAAGGCGAUCAGACACCACCGUAUUCCCGGCCGUAAACGGUGCCGCCCCGCGGCCGGCGCGCGCGUCCCGCCGGCCGCCCAGGGAAACCGGGAGGCUCCGGGCUCUGGGGGGAGUAUGGCCGCAAGGCUGAAACUUGAAGGCAUUGACGGAGGGGUACCACCAGACGUGGAGUCUGCGGCUCAAUCUGACUCAACGCGCGCACCUCACCAGGCCCGGACGCGCGGAGGACCGACAGCCGGGCGCGCUUUCGCGAUCGCGCGGGCGGUGGUGCAUGGCCGCUCCCAGCCCGUGGCGCGAGCCGUCUGCUCCAUUGCGACAACGAGCGAGACCCCGGCCGCGGGCGCCGCGGGACGGCCCGCGCGAGCGGGAGGACGGCGGGGCGAUAGCAGGUCUGUGAUGCCCUCAGACGCCCUGGGCCGCACGCGCGCUACACUGGCGGGGCCAGCCGGCGCCCGCGAGGACGCGCGGAGCCCCCGCCGUGGCCGGGACCGCGGGCUGGAACGCCCCCGCGCACCAGGAAUGUCUUGUAGGCGCGCGCCCCCACCGCGCGCCGGACGCGUCCCUGCCCCUUGUACACACCGCCCGUCGCUCCUACCGACUGGGCGCGGCGGCGAGCGCCCCGGACGCGCGAAGGGCCGCGAGCCCCCGCGCCUGGAGGAAGGAGAAGUCGUAACAAGGUAUCCGUAGGUGAACCUGCGGAUG
rnacentral:rRNA from 1 species